rnacentral:rRNA from 1 species
CCUACGGGUGGCAGCAGUGGGGAAUAUUGGGCAAUGGACGCAAGUCUGACCCAGCAACGCCGCGUGAAGGAUGAAGGUCUUCGGAUUGUAAAGUUCUGUGAUGGGGGAUGAACACAAUGACGGUACCCCAGUAGCAAGCCACGGCUAACUACGUGCCAGCAGCCGCGGUAAUACGUAGGUGGCAAGCGUUAUCCGGAAUUAGUGGGCGUAAAGGGUGCGUAGGUGGUUUAGUAAGUUGGAGGUGAAAUUCCGGGGCUCAACCCCGGCGCUGCCGUUGAAACUGUUAGACUUGAGUGCAGGAGGGGUAAGCGGAAUUCCUGGUGUAGCGGUGGAAUGCGUAGAUAUUAGGAGGAACAUCAGGGGCGAAGGCGACUUACUGGACUGUAACUGACGCUGAGGCACGAAAGCGUGGGGAGCAAACAGGAUUAGAUACCCUAGUAGUC